rnacentral:lncRNA from 1 species
UUAAAUAAAGUAAAGCAUGGAAAGAAAUUAAAUAAAGUAAAGCGUAGACAGAAAUAAAACAAAGUAAAGCGAGACAGAAAUUAAAUAAAGUAAGGCGUAGACAGAAAUUAAAUAAAGUAAAGCGUAGACAGAAAUUAAAUAAAGUAAAGUGAGACAGAAAUUAAAUAAAAGCGAUAAAAUAAGAACCUUCUCCAAACGGAGGCUUUAAAUCUGGUACAAAGAAAAUAAAC